rnacentral:rRNA from 1 species
UACGUAGGGUGCGAGCGUUGUCCGGAAUUACUGGGCGUAAAGAGCUCGUAGGUGGUUUGUCGCGUUGUUCGUGAAAACUCACAACUCAAUUGUGGGCGUGCGGGCGAUACGGGCAGACUGGAGUACUGCAGGGGAGACUGGAAUUCCUGGUGUAGCGGUGGAAUGCGCAGAUAUCAGGAGGAACACCGGUGGCGAAGGCGGGUCUCUGGGCAGUAACUGACACUGAGGCACGAAGGCCAGGGGAGCAAACGGG